rnacentral:rRNA from 1 species
UACGUAGGGUGCAAGCGUUAAUCGGAAUUACUGGGCGUAAAGCGUGCGCAGGCGGCUUUGCAAGACAGAUGUGAAAUCCCCGAGCUUAACUUGGGAAUGGCGCUUGAAACUACGGUGCUGGAGUGUGGCAGAGGGAGGUGGAAUUCCACGUGUAGCGGUGAAAUGCGUAGAGAUGUGGAGGAACACCGAUGGCGAAGGCAGCCUCCUGGGCCAACACUGACGCUCAUGCACGAAAGCGUGGGGAGCAAACAGG